rnacentral:rRNA from 1 species
GUCUAUGGCCAUAGCACCUGGAAUGCACCGGAUCUCAUGUGAUCUCGGAAACUAAGCAGGGUUGGGCCUGGUAAGUACUUUGAUGGGAGAAAUGCUGUCCCAUUCUCC